rnacentral:rRNA from 1 species
GACGAACGCUGGCGGCGUGCCUAAUACAUGCAAGUCGAGCGAAGCGGCGGAUGGGUGAGUAACGCGUGGGUAACCUGCCCUUAAGUCUGGGAUACCAUUUGGAAACAGAUGCUAAUACCGGAUAAUAAAGGAUGGACCUGCGAUGCAUUGGCUAGUUGGUAAGGUAACGGCGUACCAAGGCGAUGAUGCAUAGCCGAGUUGAGAGAAUGAUCUGCCACAUGGGGAUGUGGAUGCGGCCCAAACUCCUACGGGAGGCAGCAGUGGGGAAUAUUGCACAAUGGGGGAAACCCUGAUGCAGAAACGCCGCGUGCGGGAGGACGGCCUUCGGGUUGGAAGCCGCUUUCAGCCAUGACGCGGAGGUGGCAGAAGAAGAACCGGCUAACUACGUGCCAGCAGCCGCGGAAAUG